rnacentral:lncRNA from 1 species
AACGUUCAUCAAGAAUUCUUGUUAUGUUUUUCUAUCCCCCACGCUGCAACUGUAGUCAGGGUAUUUAUAUCUUCAGCAAUACCACACAUCCUUACUGCAUUUAAGUGGGUGAAGGUUGAAAAGUACGCGAGGAUCUGCAGCAAAACAGGUGUGUGUGCUGCAAUAAAUCUAUAUGAUCUUUAACCUAUAGGAUGUCUCUUUUAGGGAGUUUGACCUAAGGAUGAUCUCGGAAUACGAUGGAGAAAGAGUCCUAGCUGAAGAAGCAUCGGACUUACUGCCGUAUGGAAUGGACGGUUUCCCUGUUUUGCACGCCAGCGACGACUGCAUCAUUCUGGCAAGGCUGCCUCCACUUGGAAAGUUAACGGAAUGCACCUACUGGGUCCGCAGAAGUGUUGUCGGAAAUCGCAAUUGGCGUUGUGACUUCAUAUUUGAUGCCUUUUGCAAGAGACCAGCGAUUGUAGUAAAUAAACACAACCUACACACUUGUAAUUAAACGCAUGAAAACUU